GACGAACGCUGGCGGCGUGCUUAACACAUGCAAGUCGAACGGAAAGGCCCUGCUUUUGUUGGGUGCUCGUGUGGCGAACGGGUGAGUAACACGUGAGUAACCUGCCCUUGACUUUGGGAUAUCUUCAGGAAACUGCGGCUAAUACCGCAUAUGAUCUCCUGCUGCAUGUUGGGGGUUGGAAAGUUUCGGCGGUUGGGGAUGGACUCGCUGCUUAUCAGCUUGUUUGUGGGGUAGUGGCUUACCAAGGCUUUGACGGGUAGCCGGCCUGAGAGGUGUAACGGCGACAAGGGGACUGAGAGACGGCGCAGAAGCCUACGGGAGGCAGUAGGGGGGAAUAUGGCAGAAUGAGGGGAAGCCUGAGGCAGCAACGCCGCGUGCGGGAUGACGGCCUUCGGGGUGUAAACCGCUUUCGCCGGUGACGAAGAGGGAGUGACGGUAAUGGGUAAAGAAGCAACGGCUAACUACGUG
rnacentral:rRNA from 1 species